rnacentral:lncRNA from 1 species
UGCAGACAUGGCUUGGAUCCUGCAUUGCUAUGUCCAUGGCACAGGAUGGCAGCUAUAGCUCCAAUUCGAUCCCUAGCCUAGGAACUUCCAUAUGCCGUGGGUGCUGCCCUAAAACGACCAAAAAUAAAUAAAUAAAUAAAUAAAUAAAUAAAUAAAUAAAUAAACAAAUAAAUAUAAAAUUUCAUAGUGAUCUGGACAGACUGUAACAGAAAGUACCAUUUCUCCUAGCCUCAACCUACACUUAAUAUGGAGUGCUCAAAGGUAAUUUCAAUUUUCCUCUGAUAGUUUUGUUUCCCUCCAAGGAUAGGAGAUAUUUACUAAAGAAAUAUUUUUUUACUGUUAAGUGAUAUCUUAACACAUAAAACCAUCUUGUUAAAAAAAUCAUUUUUGAAAAAAAAAGUCUUCUAAGAGUGUGUUAAAAUGUCAUUUUUCCUGUUUUGGUGUAUGGACUGUCAAGAUAGCAUUGACUCAAUGGCUUCAAGGAGUUCAUUACAAACAUCAAGCAAAGGAUGUACAUAAUAUAAGACUCUCAAAUGUUGAAACAUUUUCCUAAAUUUUCAAAAUUUUUAUGAUUUUCUACCUGAUUUUUCACCCAAAGCAAAGUGGAAAUAAUGAGAUUUUAAUUGAGUUUUUUUCAAUAAGCUGAAAGGUCUCAGUAUUCUUGGCUUUUCCAGUCAAUCCACCUUCUAAAUCUUUGCGGCCAUUUCACUAUUGCCCCUUUUGUUGCAAUAAGUAGGUGACAAUGCCUACAUUAUUGUUCCGUUUGUAUAAACUGAGUGCACACCCUACUUUUCACUUCUUCCACACACUAGUUAAAAUUUGAAGCCAACUAAAGUCCACUAGGGAAAAAGAAGUAAAAGAACCUCUAUGUCUAAAUAAUUUCAGGCUAUCUGGCAUCUUUUUUCCUUUUUGGUUUGCAGAUUUUGAGUCAUAAAAAUUCUAGAUAGUUUUGGGACAAAUCUGUGUAUUUUAACUUUUUUCUCCCAAAACUAAAAAAGGCAACUGGAACAAAAAGAAAUGUCUCUGUCCCAAAUGAAAAGAUCAUUUAAGGACAAGGUAAGGACUAACAAAGGAGAAGAAAAAGAGAUCAAUCAGUCCAUUAACAUAGAAGGAGCAAGUAAAAUAAUGUGCCACAAUGAACAUGCCACAAGGGAACAGAGGGGAAGACCUCUCUGUUAACACAGAAUAGAGCAAGCAUCUUGACACCAGAAUACACUGAGAUGAGAAGAAAUGAAUAGAUCAUGUCUCUACUCCUAACCUUAACUAUACACAAAACCCUAAUCAUAAUUCCUUACACAAUAACCCCUCGUUCUAACCCCAACAGAAAUGCCAGCUUCCUGAAUUGGAACACUGAUUUCCCAAACAGAUGUCAGACAUUAGCCACUGGCCUUAGCUGCCAUCAAUAUUAAUCAGCUAAUCUUAACAUUAGCAAAACAUAUGCAUCUUAAGGCUGAACUUGUGCUACUAUUAUGUGGAGGAUAAUUAUUAGCAAAUUCAAAUAAUUAGGAUGAUGUCAGCACAUAUAUUGCCAAUUACAAUAAUCUUUUAAAAAAGUAAACACAGAUGUCUCUCCUUGUUUUAUUAAGGACAUCAUUGUCACUUAGAGUUUAAAGGCUUGAAUUUCCCAAAUACAUGGUAAUAACUUGUGAAACAUUUCUUUCCCUUAAUCAGUAAGAAGAGACUUUUUUUAAACUAUUACUUAUCUUUUAUAAUCAAGAGGCUCUUGUUACUAAUUUAUUAGUGGUUAUUACUUAUGUAUAAAGGUUCCUAAAAAUUAUAGCACUAUAGCAAGAAUACAUUCAUUGGCAUAAAAUUUGCCAAACCUUUUUUGUAUCAAUUGGGUUUUUCUAACCUUUUGUUGGUAGCUGGACAAAUGAAAAUAAAAACUGUUCUAAAAACUUGUAAGUAAAAUAUUUUUUAAAAAUGAAAUCAUUUUGUGAUACAAAAAUGGAAAUUUUCAUUUUUCUUCAUUUUGACAUCAAAGUGGCCUAAAUUCUGCCUUUUGUCUGGUCUAGCAUGUCUGAGUCUAUAAGAGAGAGGUCUGUCAAACCCAUUAAAUUUUGCGAUUUUUCAUCCCUUCAUACACCACAACAUAUAUCUCCAUGGACAAUUAAACAUUAACAAGCACUUUUGUGGUUAUUGCUGUUAAGGGCAACAACAAUCACAGUAAAUUAUUUCCUCUAGUGAUGCACAUGAGUCAGAUCCUGGUGCGAUUCUCAGAUACAACCCUUAGGGGCUGGACUAAAGAAAUAGCCUUUGUUUUCUGGAAGUUCAGAAUGGAAUGAAAUCACAGUUAUACUCAUUCACACAGCAAAUACGCACUGAAUGCCUACUGUGUGCUAUGCACUGUGCUAGGCUCUGGGGCUAUACCAUUUAUCAGGACAAAGUUCCUGCCUUUACAGGACUUAGCCUAUAUACAGAGUACAAAUUAGAUAUAAAUGCAGUCCUGAUAUCUAUUAUUCUGAAUAUCAGUUCUACACACUUGUGAACCAGUCUGUAUUAGGAAUAAUACAAGAAAAAAGCAGGUGUAGAAGGGGUGUGAACAAAGCUUUUACAUUGGGAAGCAAAAAGGAAGGAAGGAGCUAACAGCUCAGAAUGGAAAAUAAAAGGAUAGAAAAGAUGAUGGUGGUAAAAUAGUGUAUAUUCAUGCAUCUUUUCCAGGCACAGAGGAAUCUGCUCAAAUCAGAACAAGAUUUUGGAAUAAAAUGAAGGUCAAGUUAUAAGAGAAAGGACAGAGUGAGGAGGCACUGGGUUUCUCUGCCACAAUGAAGUUUUGGGCCUCCCAUGGUUUUCACUUAUGCUAAAAAUGCAGCCUCAAUUACCAGAGUGAUAAUUGAGAAUUGGUUUUAUCUAUAAGCAUUGCAAGAGUCAUUAAGAAUGGUCAUAGUCACAGGAUGGUAGCAAUAUUAAUUUUAGUCCCACGAAUACAGCAAAAGCAAAUGGGCUAUCUAUAGAGUAGGUCACCUACAUCUCCGUAGGCAGAAUUUUUAUAAGUGAAAUAGACAUUGUGGCUUUGGCACUACUUUAUUCUGUUUCCUUUGUAUAAGGAAUAUGACUUCAAAUUAGAGUACAAAGAUGGUAAGAGAAAGGAAACUUUGGGAUUUCCCAGGCAAUAAGAAAGCACAGGCUUAUGUAACACUGUACCAAUUUAUUACACAUAUGCCAGUAAAUUUUCUACUCCUGAGGUAUUUUCAUUUGUAACAUGCAUAAUGUUUACACAUAUUUAUGAACUUUUACUCCCAAACUUAUAGCCCUCCCUUGAGGAAAAAUACUUAGAAUAUUUGUCUGCUUGUAUAACUAUUUUGAUGUAUCAAAUAUAUACUAAUAAGUGUAUACCUAUAAUGGCAGAUUUUUAUAUGUCAUGCUGGGUUAUAUGGACAUUAACCAAAAGACCUAAAUCAAGUUAGGAUUCAGAAGUUCUUUUUAGAAAAAUAAAGAAUAAAGUGAUCUAACUUAGGUUUUCUGAAAAGUGCACAUUCAUCAUACCAAUGUUCUCAUAAAAGUGCCAGACUAAGGAUGCUGAGAAAUUCUAAUCUUACAAGGACAAAAGGAAUAUCCAGACCUGUUUCUGCUUUCUGCAUUCUUUCUGAAAUAUUUCACAAUUAUCUGUGUAUGCCUUUCAAGAAUACAAGUAUACAGAGUUACCUGGCAGCAGAUGUGUUCAAAUAAAAGAUGGCAAACCACCUACUACCAGGGCAUAUGGAGAAUGACUUCUUGACUCACUACAACACAUUUAAGAACCAGAAAAUAAAAAUACUCUUUUGACUUUUAAUAUCUUCAGGAUAGAGAAAAAUAAUCACUUCAAAAUACUUUCUAGUGGCAUGGAAACAUGAUCUAUAUAGCCUACAAGUAGAUAAAGAAGGAUUUGGGGGAAACAAUUAAGUGUAAACAGCCUGCCAAAUCUGGUAAGUUGACUCCAAGAAAGGCUAACAGAACUGAACUGGUAAAUAAGAACUGUCCAUCUGUCUGUGCCACCCAGCCAGAUCAAAAGAAGAGCCUGACCUGAUUCCCAUUGCACCUCUGCCUUUUCUAUCUUUUGCAUUAAAAACACAGCAACUCUGUUAAGCAGACAUCUAAAUAUUCCAUGGGUACUUCAUUUUGCAGCACUCAUUCAUAGAUUUACUCAACAUAUAUCUAAUGAGUACUAAUUAUGUGCCUGACACUGUGCUAGACCACAGGUAUGGAGUGAUUAAGACAGCCACACAUCUUCCCUUCUUGGACGUUACAGUUAACAGAGUUAACAAAAUAUAUUUCUAGCAAAACAUGGUUGAAUGCCUAUGUGAAUUUAUCUCAUUGUUCUUCUCAGGCUCCACUAAAAUGAUGGUAAAUUAUUAUAAACCUGAAAACAGAAAAUAAGAGACUAGGAAAUGGCAGACAACAUCUUUCUUCUUGUUGGAAGACAGAAGGCAAGUGAAGGAGUAAUAACUGGGUUUUAAAAAGCAUAAGAAGUAUAGACAUAAAUGCCUGUGGUGCAAAGGAAGCCAAGGGUCAGCCUCUACUCUUGGAGGAAAUUGAGCUGGAGAUACUCACUCAUGUUCACUGGCCCAGCUGAGGGCAGAUUUCAGAAGCAGGGCUGAAAACAGAGAUAAACUGUGCAGCUACAUUUUGAACUGCAGAAUGUUAGUUUGCAUUCCCUAACCUACCAGAAUCCUGGUAACCAGGCAGAAUUCCCCCUCACUAAUACUUUAUCAACCUCACCCACUCUAACCAAAAUACACCAGGAGGUGAACUGAGAGAGAUUAUUUGACAAGAAACUGUCACAUGGGAAACAAAAAAAUAAAUAAAUAAAAACAGACUUAAAAGGAAUUUGAGUACUCUCAAUGGAAAGGAUGAUACAAUUUGGUAUUCUACCAAAAAGCUCCACCAACCUAAAGACCCAACUCAUCAAACGAUAUUUCCAUCAGAAAAAUGCCCAACAUGAAAGAAAAAGCCCAAAUUUUUUAAAAAAAGGAAACUGAAUUAAAAAACCCAAACACAAAGAAUGAAAAUUCAUAGAUAGAUCCUCAUUGUCCCCAGAAGAUGAAAAUGAAACUAUAAAAUAAAAACAUGACUUGAUAAGACAUAUUCAAAUAAGAAGGAAUACUGGAAAAAUUAAAGAUAAAACUGAUCAAAUUCUUAAAAUUUAGUAGUAAGUUUUGAAGAUAGUCAAGAAAAAGCCAGAAAGAAAAGUAAAAUAUAUGAGAAUGGAGAAAUCAAUUGAGAACAUAUAACAUUAAAUAUGACAGGAAUUAUUAAAAAGAGCAAAUAAACAAAACAGAAUGGACUGGUUACACAAGACAAAAAAAUAAUAAUGUUUAAGACAAUUCCUGGAAAUAAAGAAUUUAUAUCUCCAGAAUAAAUGGGCCUCUCAUGAACUCAACACAAUAAAUUGGAAAAGAUUCCUGAGAAUGUCCAUCAUUGUGAAAGUUCAAAGCCUCAAAUUUAAAGGGAAGUUUCCAAAAUGUUCCACAGAGGAAAAAGAAAAAAGUAUGCUCUUGAACAAAUGAACAUUCUGAGGAAAAACAAUUUUUAACCUAAACUUUCUGUGUUUUUCAAGUACUUUCACAAUAACUUCCCAUUACAAACUAUGCCAUAAUUCAAGGUCUUACAAAAACAAGUAUUUCUUUUUCAUCUAUGCUUCUGCAUAUUGUUUAAGGUUAAGCUCCUCUAAGCUAGGCUAAACUGGAGUGGUCUCAUAUGUUUCUCAAUUUUGAGAAGAUAAGGCCAACCAAGGUAUGUUCUUCUCAAGGAAAUACAAGAUAAGUUCAUGCUAUAAGCAAGUUGAAGUCCUUUUCUCGAGUCAUAUCUGCUAAAACACCAUUGGCCAAAGCAAGGCAUUAGAUCAGGUCCUGAAUUAAUGAUAGAGAAAAAAACAACCUCUAAUGGGAGGAACUGCAAAGUUAUGCACCCAUGCACUGUAGGCUCGAGUACAGAGAGGUAUGAAGAACUGCAGACAACAGUGCACUUUCUUACCAGCUGAAAUAGGAAGGCAUGAGUGUGCUUAAAAAUUUACCUCUUUUCAUCUCUAAAUACUAGCUUUCAAAGUGUAGUUCCAUAAUCAGCAGCAUCACAUGGAACUGGCUAAAUAGGCAAAUUCACCCUCCCUACUCCAGAAAUAAGGAAGCAGAAACCAGGCGUAGAACCUAGGAAUCUGUGUUUUAUAUAUACCUCCAUGUGAUUCUGAGACACACUAAAUAUUGAGAAACUAUGCUAGAAGAUGUGUUUCCAGCAAACUUAAAGAAGAGGCGGGAUUCAGAAAGGGGAGGAUACAAGAUGUGAGAGAGGUGAAAGACACACAAAUAACUUCUCUGCAUCAGACCUAGACUCCAACCAAUACAUAUUGGAAACAGUUGGGCAAAAAGAUACCUACGAAGAGGAAAUCUGGUAGAAUGAGAGAUAGAUUGAUGCAUUUGAAGAAAAAACACUCAUUUAUAUAUAGAAAAAUAAUGUAAUGAAGCAAUUAUUCAGUGUGUAUGAGAGAUGAAGAGAGAUAAUGGGAGAAAAAAGGUAUUCAAGGCACAUCACAUGAUUUGGAAGUGAAUUGCAGUUACAGUUUUCAUGAGAAUCAAUUCUGUUUAUAUACUAAUAAAUUUAGGGAUAUCUAAGUCCAAAAGACAAGAGAUAGUAAAGCAGAGAUGGAGUAUAGGUUGGGAGCUAUGGUAACAGGAGAUCAGCAGCAACUUAAAUUAGUAAAUAAAGUAACCAAACUAUAACCCUAUUGUUUUAAAAAGAUGUAAGUAAAUUCU